GACGAACGCUGGCGGCGUGCUUAACACAUGCAAGUCGAACGGAAAGGCCCUGCUUUUGUGGGGUGCUCGAGUGGCGAACGGGUGAGUAACACGUGAGUAACCUGCCCUUGACUUUGGGAUAACUUCAGGAAACUUGGGCUAAUACCGGAUAGGAGCUCCUGCUGCAUGGUGGGGGUUGGAAAGUUUCGGCGGUUGGGGAUGGACUCGCGGCUUAUCAGCUUGUUGGUGGGGUAGUGGCUUACCAAGGCAUUGACGGGUAGCCGGCCUGAGAGGGUGAACGGCCACAUUGGGACUAAGAUACGGCCCAGACUCCUACGGGAGGCAGCAGUGGGGAAUAUUGCACAAUGGGCGGAAGCGUGAUGCAGCAACGCCGCGUGCGGGAUGACGGCCUUCGGGUUGUAAACCGCUUUCGCCUGUGACGAAGCGUGAGUGACGGUAAUGGGUAAAGAAGCACCGGCUAACUACGUG
rnacentral:rRNA from 1 species